GUAGGUAUAGCUCAGUGGUAGAAUGUGUGCUUAGCAUGCACAAGGUCAUGGGUUCAAUCCCCAGAACCUCCA
rnacentral:tRNA from 1 species